UACGAAGGGGGCUAGCGUUGCUCGGAAUCACUGGGCGUAAAGGGUGCGUAGGCGGGUCUUUAAGUCAGGGGUGAAAUCCUGGAGCUCAACUCCAGAACUGCCUUUGAUACUGAAGAUCUUGAGUUCGGGAGAGGUGAGUGGAACUGCGAGUGUAGAGGUGAAAAUUCGUAGAUAUUCGCAAGAACACCAGUGGCGAAGGCGGCUCACUGGCCCGAUACUGACGCUGAGGCACGAAAGCGUGGGGAAGCAAACAGGG
rnacentral:rRNA from 1 species